GGCCCCACACCCUGGGCUCCCGGGAGGCUCGAAGGACAGCGCUGGGUGAUGCCGCACACGGGGAAGGCUCAGCCUGCGCUGCUGCUGCGACUGUGAGGACGCCGGUUCGCCGUCACAGAGCCCAGAACGUGAGUAAAAGCCUCACACUGAAGAAUCCUGGAAGGGUAGCAUAUGAUUCAGGUGGGAUAAAGAUGUUUUGGGAGAAAAAAAUCGAGCAUCACGCAAGACACCUGCAGAACGAGGACAUGAGGGUUCGCAGGAGCGCCCUGAACAAGCUCCGCGUGGGAUGGGCUGAGCAGCUGGAGGGGAGGAACAAGAUGCUGCAGGGCCCAGGGAGGUGCCCAGACGGGGUCCCAGAGGUCGCUGAGCCCCUCCACACCAAGGACAAGAUGGCAGCCUGAGGGCCUGCGAGCUCCAGGCUCUGCGUGAGCUUCCGGAGGGUCAUGGAGAAAGAACACCACGCGUGGGGUCCAAGCACCCACGCCAGAGUUCACAGGAUCUUCACCAUGGAAAUGGCCCACACUUCGCUGACCCCGUAACAACCCCACCUCGGGGUCCGCGCUGCAGCAGAGUCCCAGGGUUCUCCAGCACAUAGCUGGUGCCCAAUAAAACCUAAGUCAAUUGG